GUAGUCAUAUGCUUGUCUCAAAGAUUAAGCCAUGCAUGUCUAAGUAUAAGCAAUUAUACAGCGAAACUGCGAAUGGCUCAUUAUAUAAGUUAUCGUUUAUUUGAUAGUACCUUCCUACAUGGAUAACCGUGGUAAUUCUAGAGCUAAUACAUGCAAAAAAUCCCGACUUCGGAAGGGAUGUAUUUAUUAGAUUAAAAACCAAUGCCCUUCGGCGCUCUUCGGUGAAUCAUGAUAACUUCACGGAUCGCACGGCCUUGCGCCGGCGAUGUUUCAUUCAAAUUUCCUCCCUAUCAACUUCCGAUGUUUGGGUAUUGGCCAAACAUGGUUGCAACGGGUAACGGGGAAU
rnacentral:rRNA from 1 species